rnacentral:rRNA from 1 species
GGCGCAAGCCUGAUGCAGCCAUGCCGCGUGUAUGAAGAAGGCCUUCGGGUUGUAAAGUACUUUCAGCAGUGAGGAAGGGGGUGUCGUUAAUAGCGGCAUUUCUUGACGUUAGCUGCAGAAGAAGCACCGGCUAACUCCGUGCCAGCAGCCGCGGUAAUACGGAGGGUGCGAGCGUUAAUCGGAAUUACUGGGCGUAAAGCGCAUGCAGGUGGUUUGUUAAGUCAGAUGUGAAAGCCCGGGGCUCAACCUCGGAACUGCAUUUGAAACUGGCAAACUAGAGUACUGUAGAGGGGGGUAGAAUUUCAGGUGUAGCGGUGAAAUGCGUAGAGAUCUGAAGGAAUACCAGUGGCGAAGGCGGCCCCCUGGACAGAUACUGACACUCAGAUGCGAAAGCGUGGGGAGCAAACAGGAUUAGAUACCCUGGUAGUCCACGCCGUAAACGAUGUCUACUUGGAGGUUGUGGCCUUGAGCCGUGGCUUUCGGAGCUAACGCGUUAAGUAGACCGCCUGGGGAGUACGGUCGCAAGAUUAAAACUCAAAUGAAUUGACGGGGGCCCGCACAAGCGGUGGAGCAUGUGGUUUAAUUCGAUGCAACGCGAAGAACCUUACCUACUCUUGACAUCCAGAGAAGCCAGCGGAGACGCAGGUGUGCCUUCGGGAACUCUGAGACAGGUGCUGCAUGGCUGUCGUCAGCUCGUGUUGUGAAAUGUUGGGUUAAGUCCCGCAACGAGCGCAACCCUUAUCCUUGUUUGCCAGCGAGUCAUGUCGGGAACUCCAGGGAGACUGCCGGUGAUAAACCGGAGGAAGGUGGGGACGACGUCAAGUCAUCAUGGCCCUUACGAGUAGGGCUACACACGUGCUACAAUGGCGCAUACAGAGGGCGGCCAACUUGCGAGAGUGAGCGAAUCCCAAAAAGUGCGUCGUAGUCCGGAUUGGAGUCUGCAACUCGACUCCAUGAAGUCGGAAUCGCUAGUAAUCGUAGAUCAGAAUGCUACGGUGAAUACGUUCCCGGGCCUUGUACACACCGCCCGUCACACCAUGGGAGUGGGCUGCACCAGAAGUGGUUAGUUUAACCCCUUUUCUUUCGAGAUUAGGGGAGGACGAUCACCACGGUGUGGUUCAUGACUGGGGUGAAGUCGUAACAAGGUAGCCCUAGGGGAACCUGGGGCUGGAUCACCUCCUUAUACGAAGAU